rnacentral:rRNA from 1 species
AUGUCUAAGUAUCGUUAAGUGAAUACAUAGCUUAAUCAGGGGAACCCGGGGAACUGAAACAUCUAAGUACCCGGAGGAAAAGAAAGAAAUUCGAUUCCGUAAGUAGCGGCGAGCGAAAGCGGAACAGGCCAAACCAAUGAAGUUUACUUCGUUGGGGUUGCGGACAUACAACAUGGAUGCAAUAUCGUAGAUGAAGAGAGUUGGAAAGCUCCGCCGUAGAAGGUAAUAGCCCUGUAGUUGAAACGAGAAAGCUACUAGUAUGAUCCAGAGUACCACGGGACACGUGAAACCCUGUGGGAAGCAGGAGGGACCAUCCUCCAAGCCUAAAUACUACCUAGUGACCGAUAGCGCAUAGUACCGUGAGGGAAAGGUGAAAAGAACCCCGGGAGGGGAGUGAAAUAGAACCUGAAACCCUGCACUUACAAGCUGUGGGAGCACAUUUCUUGUGUGACCGCGUACUUUUUGUAGAACGGGCCAACGAGUUACGUUAAGUAGCAAGGUUAAGCACUUAAGGUGUGGAGCCGUAGCGAAAGCGAGUCUUAAAUGGGCGAUUUAGUUACUUGGCGUAGACCCGAAACCGGGCGACCUAUCCAUGAGCAGGUUGAAGCGAAAGUAAAAUUUCGUGGAGGACCGAACCCACGAGCGUUGAAAAGCUCGGGGAUGACUUGUGGAUAGCGGUGAAAUUCCAAUCGAGCCCGGAGAUAGCUGGUUCUCCCCGAAAUAGCUUUAGGGCUAGCCUCAAGGUUGAGAGAAGCGGAGGUAGAGCACUGAAUGUCCUAGGGGGUAUUGCACUUACCGAAGACUAUCAAACUCCGAAUGCCGUAUUCUUAUACUUGGGAGUCAGACUGUGGGUGAUAAGAUUCAUAGUCAAAAGGGCAACAGCCCAGAUCGUCAGCUAAGGUCCCUAAAUGUACGUUAAGUGGUAAAGGAUGUGGGAUUGCACAGACAACCAGGAUGUUGGCUUAGAAGCAGCCACUCAUUUAAAGAGUGCGUAAUAGCUCACUGGUCGAGUGAUCCUGCGCCGAAAAUUUCCGGGGCUAAAACGUACUACCGAAGCUACGGCAUCAUUUAUGAUGGGUAGGGGAGCUUCGUAUGCAGGCUGAAGCAUGACCGUAAGGACAUGUGGACAGUAUACGAGUGAGAAUGUUGGCAUGAGUAGCGAGACGUGGGUGAGAAUCCCACGGGCCGUAAACCCAAGGUUUCCAGGGGAAGGUUCGUCCGCCCUGGGUUAGUCGGGACCUAAGCCGAGGCCGAAAGGCGUAGGUGAUGGACAACAGGUUGAUAUUCCUGUACCGCCAAUAAGCGUUUGAGAGAUGGAGUGACACAGUAGGAUAAGCUAACCGUACUGUUGGUUAUGUACGGCUAAGCAUUGAGGCAGUCUAAAUAGGCAAAUCCGUUUAGACAAUGCUAGGAUGUGAUGGGGAAGCCCUUCGGGGCGAAGUAGCUGAUUUCACACUGUCAAGAAAAGCUUCUAUCGAGUUUAAAGGCGCCCGUACCGUAAACCGACACAGGUGGGUGAGGAGAGUAUCCUAAGGCCAGCGAGAGAACUAUUGUUAAGGAACUCGGCAAAAUGACCCCGUAACUUAGGGAGAAGGGGUGCCUGUCUAUGACAGGCCGCAGAGAAUAGGCCCAAGCGACUGUUUACCAAAAACACAGGUUUCUGCUAAGUCGCAAGACGAUGUAUAGGAGCUGACGCCUGCCCGGUGCUGGAAGGUUAAGGGGAUCUGUUAGAGCAAUCGAAGCAGUGAACUUAAGCCCCAGUAAACGGCGGCCGUAACUAUAACGGUCCUAAGGUAGCGAAAUUCCUUGUCGGGUAAGUUCC